GGGCGUAAAGGGCACGCAGGCGGUGACUUAAGUGAGGUGUGAAAGCCCCGGGCUUAACCUGGGAAUUGCAUUUCAUACUGGGUCGCUAGAGUACUUUAGGGAGGGGUAGAAUUCCACGUGUAGCGGUGAAAUGCGUAGAGAUGUGGAGGAAUACCGAAGGCGAAGGCAGCCCCUUGGGAAUGUACUGACGCUCAUGUGCGAAAGCGUGGGGAGCAAACAGGAUUAGAUACCCUGGUAGUCCACGCCGUAAACGAUGAGUGCUAGGUGUUAGACCCUUUCCGGGGUUUAGUGCCGCAGCUAACGCAUUAAGCACUCCGCCUGGGGAGUACGACCGCAAGGUUGAAACUCAAAGGAAUUGACGGGGGCCCGCACAAGCGGUGGAGCACGUGGUUUAAUUCGAAGCAACGCGAAGAACCUUACCAGGUCUUGACAUCCCUCUGACCGCUCUAGAGAUAGAGUUUUCCUUCGGGACAGAGGUGACAGGUGGUGCAUGGUUGUCGUCAGCUCGUGUCGUGAG
rnacentral:rRNA from 1 species